UGUCUCAUGUUCUGGUUAUUCAAAGUCAGCACAAAUCUUCACAGCAUUGAGAGACCAGCUUUGAGGCUAAUUUGGGUCUUCAAAGAACACUCCUCUGCCUCCUUGAAAAAGUUGUGUUAAAGCAAUUAAAUGUUAUUUGAAGGAAAGAAAAGGCACAAGCUGACUACUGAAUAACAGGACUAGUGUUAACAAAACAAUCCUUACCCUGGGAUCAAAGCCAGAGAGAGGCAGACAGAUAGUGUGCAGGGGAUAAGGGGAGAGAGGAAGAACGGGAGGUGUUAGAAUGGCUUUGGUUCAAUUAGGGAUGCGAAUGCGCAAUCUGGGGAUGGUCUUCUGAAUUCAGAACAAUAGCUGGCGACGGAAACGCGAAUGGCCCCAGGAGAACUCACAAUGCAAGAAACGCUGGAUUCGGCAUCUCUGUUCAGACAAGGGGCCAAAUAAAGGAACAAAACAAACAAGCGGACAUAAUUGUUUGCCAUUCAAGGGAGCCACAGACCGCUCGGCAUAUGGUGUGUGGAGAUUCCGGAAUGCACAGGCGAUCUCAUUUGGAAUGACUAUUCUUGUUCCAGAAGCCUGGGAGCCAGAUGAGCAGGAGGCUGACUGAAAGAUGAGGUGGACUGCACCCUCCAUUUCUGAUGCCGAAACAGUCUUUCUCAGCUUCAGCGCCCAAGGGAUUCACCAGGCUUGGCUCCAGUAGACAUUCAUUGUCUCCCAAACUCAAAUCUCUCCCGCGAAGGACAAAGAGAUUACUUGAUCCAGGUGAAGCCAGAUGCCGUGAAGUGAGGACACUCAGGCAGUCGGUAGAGAGGCCCACGUGGGUUGGAACUUAGUCCUGCCAGCAGCCACGUGAAUGAACUUCGAAAUGGGUCCUCUGCCCCCAGAAGAUAGCACCUCUGGCCAAAUUUUCAUCCACGUGAGAGAUCCUGAGCCGGAACCACCCAGCCAAGCUUCUCCCCCCAAUCCUGACUCACAGAAAGGGAGAUAAUAAAUGCUUGUUGUUUUAA